UCCCUGGAGGACUAGUGGGUAGGCCUCGGUGCUUUCACUGCUGAGGCCCAGGUUCCAUUCCCAGCCAGGGAA